GACGAACGCUGGCGGCGUGCUUAACACAUGCAAGUCGAACGGAAAGGCCCUGCUUUUGUGGGGUGCUCGAGUGGCGAACGGGUGAGUAACACGUGAGUAACCUGCCCUUGACUUUGGGAUAACUUCAGGAAACUGGGGCUAAUACAGGAUAGGAGCUCCUGAUGCAUGGUGGGGGUUGGAAAGUUUCGGCGGUUGGGGAUGGACUCGCGGCUUAUCAGCUUGUUGGUGGGGUAGUGGCUUACCAAGGCUUUGACGGGUAGCCGGCCUGAGAGGGUGACCGGCCACAUGGGGACUGCGAUACGGACCAGACGCCUACGGGAGGCAGCAGGGGGGAACAUUGCGCAAUGGGCGGAAGCCUGAUGCAGCAACGCCGCGUGCGGGAUGACGGCCUUCGGGUGGUAAACCGCUUUCGCCUGUGACGAAGCGUGAGUGACGGUAAUGGGUAAAGAAGCACCGGCUAACUACGUG
rnacentral:rRNA from 1 species